rnacentral:rRNA from 1 species
UACAGAGGUCCCAAGCGUUGUUCGGAUUCAUUGGGCGUAAAGCGUGCGCAGGCGGUUCUCCAAGUCCGUUGUGAAAGCCCCGGGCUCAACCUGGGAAUGGCAGUGGAAACUAGGGGACUUGAAUCUGGCAGAGGGGGGUGGAAUUCCACGUGUAGCAGUGAAAUGCGUAGAGAUGUGGAGGAACACCGAUGGCGAAGGCAGCCCCCUGGGCUGAGAUUGACGCUCAGGCACGAAAGCGUGGGGAGCAAACAGGA